rnacentral:lncRNA from 1 species
UAGAUUGAAAAUACAUUGAAAUUAGGGAUUUAAUACGAAAAUAUGAAAUUAUAAGCUCCACCAAAAUGUUUUCUCUCCCAAGCCCGCUUCUCGAGGCGCCGUUUGAAGUUUUUCUGAUGGCUUUCCUCACCGGUGAGUCUCCUCGGGCAUUCUCUUUCCUUUAGAUCUGAGAUUGAUCUCAUCUCUGGCGAUUCCUACCGGCGUGUCCGGCGUUUUCCGGUGUCCUUCCGGUCUCUUACGUCUUCUCUCGUGUUUCUGGUGUGAUGGCCGGUGAUCUUAUGGUGUUUUCCAUAAGGUUUUGCUUCCUCUCCCGACGAAUCUGCGUGUUUAUCUCGGACUGAAGCUUCCUCCAAAGCUGGCUCUUAACCUUCCUUCACCACCGCAUCCUCCAAAACCUCCAGACCCACCGGAUCCUCCCCCUGUUCUUAGCUUAACUAAUUCACUCGCCGCUAUUUUGUCGUCCCACUCAGCUCUUCUCAACAUAGGCACAGCAGUCAUGAUUUCUUUGGGUUGGUUGGGUUUGGCUAUGGUUCUCGUGUCUCCCUGUGACACUGAUCUAGCCUUCCCGCGUCCCUCUACUGUUGUAUGCAGUUCUUGUACCCGAGUUGUCUUGGUCUUCUUUGGUAGGUUACAGAUCUGCUCUCCCGUUUGUUGGCAGCCAAGGUUUUGACAGCCUUCUCUCUCCAUUUUCAUGACAUCAGAAGGUAUAAUUUCUAGGACCAUUGUGAUGGAUGUACAAUGGGCUAGAAGUUGUCUUCUGUUAGUUCUCUAUUCCCUCAUUAUGAGGUUUCAUCAGGUUCAAUUACCUCAAUAUGAGGAUGUUACUAUUAUCAGAUUGGAUCAAAGCUUGUCUAGAAUGGUUGGAAUGUCUCUUAUCGGAAGGAUUGCGUGUAGUCAGUCUUUGGAGAUAAUUUUUUAUGGCUUUGGUGGGAAUCUGUUUGUCUUUGGUUUACUCUCGGAUCUCUCCAAUGGAGAUUCUAAUUUUCCUUGUAUUGAGGACUGGUUUAGAUGUGUUCUAACUGUUUUUGUGGCUAUGGACUUAGUCCCGAUUAUUAGCUUUGCUCUCUUUGGUGUUGUAGAUGGAAAGGUCUCAACCAAACCAACCUUCAACUUAGAAGAUAGAAGCACUUCAAGGGGCAUUUAAUUGUUUCUCCAAAGCAACUUGGUUAGUUAAAGCUACCGUUUGCGAUUUGGGGUGGAUCAUUAAGGACCCACUUAAGGUAAAGAUCCAUCAAAGAUCUUCUUCAAGACCCUUUGGUUCUUCUGUUUCUUUAGCCGAAGCACUAGCUUGAAAGGCGACGUUCAUCGUGGCUUUAGCACUGGGUGUAUCAAGGCUAGCCUGUUUUGCGGAUUGUGGAGAACCUUUGUUUCUUCUCAAUGUCGUUGGCUAUGCAAUAGAGCUCGUUCUCUUGGCAGUUUGCAGAGAGCUUCGUACCAAUCAUCUCUUUGUUUCUCUUCAUGUUGUUUCGUUUGUAGUAAACUUUGAGGUUGUUUCUUUGGCAAAGGAUUCACCUUCCUCCUGUAACUUAUCCUCCUUUAAUGGAGUUUGAGCUUCUUAAUUAAUGUAUUGGUUCAAAAAAAAAAAAAAAAAAGCUCCACCAAAAUUAAUUUAAAUUAUAAUUAGCACUACUUUC